rnacentral:lncRNA from 1 species
CCUCCCUGCCCCACAGCCCGGUUCCCAUCGCUCCGUCUCGUUCCUCCCGGUUCCGCCCGUACCGGGGCGGGUCGGUUCGGAACAAAGGCCCCAUUGAAUGACACAGGACGAACCUGCGGGGCUGGGCGGUACCGACCCGUUGGCUGCCGCCCCACAGUCGCUUUUGGGAUCGCGGAUCUGAGCUGAUCGUCUCGGAACCGGAGGUCCCGGGUUGGGGGGUCCCGGUGGGGCCGGACCGUGGGUCCCGAUGGAGCUGAGCUCGGAACCGAACGUCCCCAGGGCUGCACGGGGCGACUUCUGGCUCCUGCAGAUCCCGGAACCGGACCCGUUCGGUCUGUGGGUUUAAUGGGGUGAGAAGGGAUCGAAAUGAGACCGGCCCGACUGAUGCGUCCGGCUUAUAGGGCGGAUGGGGAACCAGCCCCAUAGGAGACCGCGGCUCCGAGCAGCACAUGAGCCCAUGGCCAACGAGACCGGCAUGGAGCAAACCCUGCCCCACUGGAGGCGAGCGGCCCAUGGGGCGAUGGGCAGCAAUGGGGUCCCGGCGCCGCCCCCGCCCCACAGCCCGCCCCAUAGCGAGCCCCCCCUCGUCCAUUACAACGAGCUGAGCCAUAAGAGCUGCCCAUGGAGCCGCUGCUCGGCUCCGGGCUGCCCCUUCCUACCGGCCCCAUUGUGCCCCCCCCCCAAAGCCCCCCGUCUGCUGCCGCCCCCCCCCAAAAACGGGCAGCCCAAAGGUUGGGCCGAGCCCCCCGAGGGUCGCCCUCAUUGGGCGGACGCCGUUCUGGCCCCAUUGACCCUUUAUGGCCGCUCGUACCCCCCGCCCCUCCCCCUGGAGAGCGAUGGAGACCCCAGACCCCUCCGCCAUUGCCCCCUCCUCGUGUCCUCGAUGCUGCCCCGUUAUGGGGCCGCGGAGGGAGCGACCGGGACCGAGUGGCAGCUGGGAUCCUAUAUGGCAACGUGGGGGCAGCCCCUUUACUUGGGGGUCCCACCGACGGGAAAGGAGACCCCCAACCCGUACAGUGACGGCUCCGGAACGGGGAAUAGGGUAAGGGGGUCGUAUGGGGAACACGGUGUGUGGGGAUGGGGGGGUCCGGGGGUUGGGAUCCAUGGGGAUAUGGGGGUCA